rnacentral:rRNA from 1 species
AACGCGAAGAACCUUACCAAAUCUUGACAUCCUCUGACUACUCUAGAGAUAGAGUUUUCCCCUUCGGGGGACAGAGUGACAGGUGGUGCAUGGUUGUCGUCAGCUCGUGUCGUGAGAUGUUGGGUUAAGUCCCGCAACGAGCGCAACCCUUAAGCUUAGUUGCCAUCAUUAAGUUGGGCACUCUAAGUUGACUGCCGGUGACAAACCGGAGGAAGGUGGGGAUGACGUCAAAUCAUCAUGCCCCUUAUGAUUUGGGCUACACACGUGCUACAAUGGACAAUACAAAGGGUAGCGAAACCGCGAGGUCAAGCAAAUCCCAUAAAGUUGUUCUCAGUUCGGAUUGUAGUCUGCAACUCGACUAUAUGAAGAUGGAAUCGCUAGUAAUCGUAGAUCAGCAUGCUACGGUGAAUACGUUCCCGGGCCUUGUACACACCG